CAGCAGCCGCGGUAAUACCGGCGGCCCGAGUGGCGGCUACUAUUAUUGGGCCUAAAGCGUCCGUAGCCGGGCUGGGAAGUCCUCCGGGAAAUCUGGUCGCUUUACGAUCAGACUUCCGGAGGAUACUGCUGGCCUAGGGACCGGGAGAGGCCGAGGGUAUUCCCGGGGUAGGGGUGAAAUCCUGUAAUCCCGGGAGGACCACCUGUGGCGAAGGCGCUCGGCUGGAACGGGUCCGACGGUGAGGGACGAAGGCCAGGGGAGCGAACCGGAUUAGAUACCCGGGUAGUCCUGGCUGUAAACGAUGCGGACUUUGUGUCGGACAAGCUAUGAGCUUGUCCGGUGCCGGAGGGAAACCGUUAAGUCCGCCGCCUGGGGAGUACGGCCGCAAGGCUGAAACUUAAAGGAAUUGGCGGG
rnacentral:rRNA from 1 species